GAUACCCUACUAUACUAGGAAAUAACUUAAAGUGCCGGAUUAUUAUUAGAUAUAAGCUUUAAAUUUAAAGAAUUUGGCGGUGGUUUAGUCUUGUCAGAGGAACCUGUUUAUUAAAUCGAUAAUCCACGUAAAAUCUGACCUACCUUUGUUAUCAGUUUGUAUACCGUCAUUAUCAGAUGAUUUUUAGAGAAUAAUCGUUGACUCUAGUAGUAAAGCUAGUAAAAUUAGAUCAAGGUGCAGUUAAUGGGUAGGCUAAAAUGGGUUACAAUAGAAUUUAUUUAUAACGGAUAAGAAAAAUGAAUAAAAACUUGGUGAAGGAGGAUUUGAUUGUAUUUUAAGUUUAACAAGCUUAAAAGAUAUAAGCCCUAAAUCAUGUACAU
rnacentral:rRNA from 1 species